CACCUCGUCGCCGGCCCUCCCCUCCCCUCCUCCCACAUCGCAGCUCCGGAGACCCACCCAUCCCUCUCAGCCCAUCUCUCUGUUGACGCAGCUCCUCGUGCGCCACCUGCGGCGGCUGAUUCAAGCGGCGGCCGGCGAAUCCAGCCAUCACGCGAAGCACAACCCGAGGUCCCACCUCACUGCGGUGCCCUCCCAAGCGGCCAGAUCCGGCGCUCGCGACCACCAAAGCCCACCCGCGAGCUUCCCCCGACGGCUAGGGUUUCAGGAGUAGGCUCCAGUGCCGGUGGCCAUGUCGGCCUCUUCUCGCCGAAGUCUGAUGGUCAAGUUAUUUAGGUCUAAGGUAGUAGCUUGCUAAUGGUGGCUUUCACGUCCAGCUCAAAUACUAGAGGACGUGGACCUGUUGGAGAAAGCACGUACACCUUUGGUUUAGUGAGCAGGUUUCCAAAGAAAGAAAUACUCAAUGCCAUUCAAUGGCUUUCAAUGUGCCAGUCUCUACAUUCAUAGCACUAUCGAGAUGGAGGCCAACAUCAUGGAUGGCUGGAGCUGCGAGUAGAUUUGUCCAAGAUAUGUUAGUGUUUGUAGUCAUGGUUCUGAUUCAAAAGAUAUAUUGAUGCUUAUAUGGGUGUGUGGCAAGUAUACUGCGAUGAUGACGAUGAUGUUCCAGUUAACGAUGAUGACGAUGAUGGGUGUUUUCAGUUGUAGUUAUGAUGGGUGUUUUCAGUUUUACUUAAGUUGUAGGGAUGAUGUUACUGUCAGAUGAUGUUCCUCGGUUAAGUUUUAGUUAAGUUGUAGGCAUGUUGAUGGAUGCUUUCAGUUUAAGUUUCGUUGUUAAGAGAAUAUUUAGAUUAUGCAUCGCAUUUGGAUGCUAUUCCUUAUGUAAUAUCAACAAUUGUAAUCUCACUAUUUUUUCCAAUAUAUGAUUUCUUCCUUU